UAAAAUGCUUUCGUGUCCACGAGAAGUGGA
rnacentral:sRNA from 1 species